rnacentral:piRNA from 1 species
UGAUUGGAACCCUAUUUCAGUCUCCAUGGU